AGAGUUUGAUCUUGGCUCAGGACGAACGCUGGCGGCGUGCCUAAUACAUGCAAGUCGAGCGCGGGAAGCAAAAAGAUCUCUUCGGAGUGACAUUUGUGGAACGAGCGGCGGACGGGUGAGUAACACGUGGGCAACCUGCCUGUAAGACUGGGAUAACCCCGGGAAACCGGGGCUAAUACCGGAUAAUACUUUUCUUCGCAUGAAGGAAAGUUGAAAGAUGGCCUUUGGCUAUCACUUACAGAUGGGCCCGCGGCGCAUUAGCUAGUUGGUGGGGUAAGAGCUCACCAAGGCAACGAUGCGUAGCCGACCUGAGAGGGUGAUCGGCCACACUGGGACUGAGACACGGCCCAGACUCCUACGGGAGGCAGCAGUAGGGAAUCUUCCGCAAUGGACGAAAGUCUGACGGAGCAACGCCGCGUGAACGAAGAAGGUUUUCGGAUCGUAAAGUUCUGUUGUUAGGGAAGAACAAGUACCGUUCAAAUAGGGCGGUACCUUGACGGUACCUAUCGAGGAAGCCCCGGCUAACUACGUGCCAGCAGCCGCGGUAAUACGUAGGGGGCAAGCGUUGUCCGGAAUUAUUGGGCGUAAAGCGCGCGUAGGCGGUUUCUUAAGUCUGAUGUGAAAUCUUGCGGCUCAACCGCAAGCGGUCAUUGGAAACUGGGGAACUUGAGUGCAGAAGAGGAGAGCGGAAUUCCACGUGUAGCGGUGAAAUGCGUAGAUAUGUGGAGGAACACCAGUGGCGAAGGCGGCUCUCUGGUCUGUAACUGACGCUGAGGUGCGAAAGCGUGGGGAGCGAACAGGAUUAGAUACCCUGGUAGUCCACGCCGUAAACGAUGAGUGCUAGGUGUUAGGGGGUUUCCGCCCCUUAGUGCUGCAGUUAACGCAAUAAGCACUCCGCCUGGGGAGUACGGCCGCAAGGCUGAAACUCAAAAGAAUUGACGGGGGCCCGCACAAGCGGUGGAGCAUGUGGUUUAAUUCGAAGCAACGCGAAGAACCUUACCAGGUCUUGACAUCUUCGGAUGUCCCUAGAGAUAGGGAGUUCCCUUCGGGGACCGAAUGACAGGUGGUGCAUGGUUGUCGUCAGCUCGUGUCGUGAGAUGUUGGGUUAAGUCCCGCAACGAGCGCAACCCUUGAUCUUAGUUGCCAGCAUU
rnacentral:rRNA from 1 species